AUGGAGGUGGAAAGGGUCAUGGCGGCAAAGGUCAUGGUGGUGGCCAUGGGGGGCAAGGGACACGGAGGCCAUGGUGGCGGACACGGGGGCAAAGGACAUGGAGGCGGCCAUGGAGGAAAGGGGCACCAUGGAUAAACAUAGCAGCUGAAAGAUGUGUCACGAGAAAGCCCUUGUUUUUUAUUCCACUGCUGCUGGACAACGGGGAAACCACAACUCAUGUAAAACAUGAUGAUCUUGUAUUUUGUUUGACCAGACCUCUGAAUAAAAAUACACUCCAAAGUGUUAAAUCUGAUUACA